UUAACUCAAAUUUGUAUGGAGCUCAAACGUUUGCCUAAGUUUGCCGCUAGGGGCGCUGUUCCAACUCCAUACAAAUUCGAGUUA
rfam:Bombyx mori DNA, contig: Bm_scaf160_contig40616, strain: p50T/Dazao, build 2, whole genome shotgun sequence.